CCGGUUCCGCUUGACGUGCGGUAAACCUGGUUCUCAAUGUUAGAAUGGAAAAUCAUGAAUCAAUUAUGUAUAUUUCUGUGCUUUUCUUUUAGAGCAGGUUGGUGUGCCGUGGAGACAACAACCAGAGUUAUGUAUGUGAAUCAGACCACUGCUGUGGAGAGUCUCAGUGCUGCAGCUACUACUAUGAGCUCUGGUGGUUCUGGUUGGUGUGGACUCUCAUCAUCAUAUUAAUGUGCUGCUGUGUGUCUCAGCACCGGCGCUACAAGCAGAGCUUCCAGCAGCAGAGGAGACAGAAUGAGAUCAACCUCAUUGUAUACAGAGAGGCCCACAACAACAGACAGCAUCUCCCCCUCUAUCUCAGAUUCCUGCCUGACUACAUGCUGCCAACCUAUGAGGAGGUAGUUGACAGCACUGCCACUCCUCCCCCUCCCUACAGUCCCCCUCCAGUUAGCCUCUCUGUCCACCCAGCACCCUGACUGCCCUCGUCCUUCCCCCAGACCACCACCACAUACCCAGACACAACCCCCACUGCGGCUCCCCGUGUCUACACCGGGGGAGCAUGGCAAUGGUUUCCCUGACAACAAUAACUCGCCGUUGGGCAGGUAACUGUGCUUUACAGGCGACUCGGCAAUCGAGAUGUGUGAUAACCAGCAACUCUGGGAGGGAGGAGGAAGACACAUGCUGGGAAGGGAGGAGGAAGAAAACAUCUGUGAUAGAUGCAGACCCCAGAUUCAGAUCCACACAGACACCAAUAUACACACAGAAAAUAGAGACUCAGAGUUGAUCCCCCAAACCUGUGAGUGAGAGGUGUGUGUGUGUGCCUGUGAAUGUGUCCCUCCUUAGAAGAAAGUAGCACAAUGCUUGCAUCACAAUGUGCAUUCCUCUGUAAUGCAGCCGUGCCAUAUGUAGCCAUAUUUUAAUGUGGUGAUGCACUGACUCUAAAAGCCUGGAGUCUCACUGCUGUGCCACACAAAGGCCAGUAGAUUAUAGAGUUCCUGUACAGUUCUAAAUAUGAAUUUAUGCCAUGUCGAACUGAAUAGAAACUAAAAGCGGGUUGAGAGCUUUGCUGGAGGUACAAAUUGGUUUCAUAGAACCGCUUUCAACACUGUAGACUUCCUCAUUGGUUUUGGGUCGAAUUCAGGCAUAACAGCGGCCUCUUGUGUAGAUAUAUAUAUAUAUAUAUAAUCGUUGAUUUAUUCAGACAAGACAUAAAUGACUAAAUGAGAUACACAGUCUAACAUCAACAUAUGAUGUAGGAAUAUACACAACCAGAAUGAACAAAGCAAGAGAGAUGCGCCAAGAAGGAUUACAAGGUAUAUUCUUAUUUUUCAUUUUUAGAUUAGCAUGGAGCAUCAUCGUCUGACCUCAUGUUAAAGAGACACCACGUUUAUUGCACAAAAACUCACACACCCAAUGCAGUGCGGAGGUUAAUGUUUGAAAUGGUGAAUAUGGCCUCCCAGAGGCCAUGAUUGUACUUCCGAUGUGGUUUUAUUUAUUAUUUAUUAUUUAUUUAUAUAUAACAAUAAUUCUCUAAAGAAAAGUAAAAGAACAUUGAAGUAAUAUAUAUAUAAAAACAUUCACUACACAUUAAUUGAGUUUCAAACGUUAAAAUAAAUCAAAUAAGGUCAGGGGUUACAGUUGUAUAAACAUAUGGUAGUGUUGUAAGAAUACAAUGUUUAAAAAAAAAAGUUUUUGACUAAUUCUAGAGAUUUUAUAAAAUAUUGUAUUUCAAGUAAAAAUAUAUUGCAUUUGGGAACAGAUUUCCAAUAUGUGUUUUUGUGAAUACAACAUUUACCAGAGAGAAUGAAGAAAUUCAUGACUAAUUCAGCUGUUUUUUUUUUCAUUUGAGUAAUAACAAUAACAACAUUACAUCUUUCAU